rnacentral:ncRNA from 1 species
CAAAGGCUUGGUCCUGACUUUUCUGUCAGCUUUAGCUAGAUUUAUACAUGCAAGUAUCCGCGUCCCCGUGAGAAUGCCCUUGUUUUCCGCCCAGAAACCAAGGAGCUGGUAUCAGGCACAUCCCUUAUUGAGCCCACGACGCCUUGUUCAGCCACACCCCCAAGGGAAUUCAGCAGUGAUAAACCUUAAGCUAUAAGUGAAAACUUGACUUAGUUAAAGCUAAGAGGGCCGGUAAAACUCGUGCCAGCCACCGCGGUUAUACGAGAGGCCCAAGUUGACAGACGCCGGCGUAAAGUGUGGUUAAGGAAAAUUUUAAACUAAAGCCGAACGCCUUCAAGGCAGUCUGAAUGCAUUCGAAGGUACGAAGCCCCACCACGAAAGUGGCUUUAUGACUCCUGAUUCCACGAAAGCUAAGGAACAAACUGGGAUUAGAUACCCCACUAUGCUUAGCCGUAAACAUUGAUAGAAUAUCACACAAAUCUAUCCGCCUGGGUACUACGGGCAUUAGCCUAAAACCCAAAGGACUUGGCGGUUCUUUAGAUCCCCCUAGAGGAGCCUGUUCUGUAACCGAUACUCCCCGUUAAACCUCACCCUCUCUUGUUUUUCCCGCCUAUAUACCGCCGUCGUAAGCUUACCCUGUGAAGGAAAUAUAUAGUAAGCAAAAUCGGCACUGCCCAGAACGUCAGGUCGAGGUGUCGCGCAUGAGAGGGGAAGAAAUGGGCUACAUUCCCUAAUAUUAGCGAUUACACGAAUGAUUGUAAUGAAAACGUACAUCUGAAGGAGGAUUUAGCAGUAAGGGGAAAAUAGAGUGUUCCCCUGAAGCCGGCUCUGAAGUGCGCACAUACCGCCCGUCACUCUCCCCAAGCUCACAAGUUCCACAUAACUAAAAUGCUAUUAAUACGCGAAGGGGAGGCAAGUCGUAACAUGGUAAGUGUACCGGAAGGUGCACUUGGAUAAAUAU